CUGGUUCUGGCAGUGUGGUUAGCUGGUUGUUUACGUAUAGUAAUUACAACCACUAUCUUCCCUGCCCCAAGUGG
rfam:Stegodyphus mimosarum contig70805, whole genome shotgun sequence.